AACGAACGCUGGCGGCAUGCCUAACACAUGCAAGUCGAACGAGACCUUCGGGUCUAGUGGCGCACGGGUGCGUACCGCGUGGUAACCUGCCCUUAGGUUCGGAAUCACUCCCCGAAAGGGGUGCUAAUACCGGAUAAUGUCUUCCGACCAAAGAUUUAUCGCCUUUGGAUGGGCCCGCGUUGGAUUAGCUAGUUGGUAGGGUAAAAGCCUACCAAGGCGACGAUCCAUAGCUGGUCUGAGAGGAUGAUCAGCCACACUGGGACUGAGACACGGCCCAGACUCCUACGGGAGGCAGCAGUGGGGAAUAUUGGACAAUGGGCGAAAGCCUGAUCCAGCAAUGCCGCGUGAGUGAUGAAGGCCUUAGGGUUGUAAAGCUCUUUUACCCGGGAUGAUAAUGACAGUACCGGGAGAAUAAGCUCCGGCUAACUCCGUG
rnacentral:rRNA from 1 species